GGGCUGGGCCUGCCCCGGAGCUGUCACCGGAAGUGCCCUGCAGUGUGCGGGCUGAAUCACGCAGACGUCAUGGCCACUCGCAGGGCCUGCUGGUGACUCAUGCGUCGGCCCACUCCUCUGCGGUUGCCUCUGGUUGGAGCUCAGGGAACCCGGAGCCAGUUCCCGGGGGGCCAGCUCUGAAGCCCCCCCUUUCAGGUGCCAGGGAGACAAUGAAACACAAAGCAGGUGAAGCGCAGGCCCUCGUGGAGAUUGUGCAGCCCGGGGGACCUGGGAAACCAGCCAACUAACUGAUGUGCGGUCGAGUGUCAGUGGGCGUGCCCCAGGCGAAGCAGGAGCCUUGCUCUGAGCCUGUCGCAGCUGUCCAGGAUUUUCUCCUGGGGCCUCUUCACUCCUGUCUGUGGAGCUCAACGUGGGUUUUGAGUUCCAGACCGAACAUUCAACUAGACAUCUCCGCUUGGGCGCCCUGCCGACACUGCCCCAAAUGCACCCCAAAUAUGCUGGCCCUCUGUCUGGCAAAUGGCACUCUGGCCCCUAGGAGCUGGGGGGCAUAUCCAGGUGUGGGCUGUGCUAUUUCCUGUAUGGUCAGGAUGGGGAGCCUCGCACCCUCCCUUCUGCACCCCCUGCCCAGUACCACCUGCUGAUCCACUCCCAGUUGCCCUCUAGUGCAAGGACUGGAGCACUGGAGAUCCCCAAGGCCACCUCUCCUGGGUACGGCCACACUCUGGUUAGGCUGCCCGCUCCCACUCUGUCUUCCCCUGGUCCGUUAUCCACACAGCGCCUAGAAUGAUCUUGCAGAGAGCAUAUUGGGUGCUAAAGCCCUCAGGGCACCCCUGCUCCUCAAGGUGAAGGCCUCAUCCUGCACUAGCCCAGGUGCCUCGCUGGCUUCACCUUGCCAGCCGUGCCCGGACCCUCCCUGAGCCUCGGGGCUCCAGACACACUGCUUCUGCGACUCCCGCCCCCUGCCUGGACCUGGCUACCUGUCCAAGUUCUGCGCCGUCUGGGCUCAGCCUGGGCACCUCCCCAGAUGUGCCCCCAUGGCCUGCGGUGUACCCGCCCUGAGAGUCUGCUGUGUAGAAUGCACCUGUCUGCCACUUUGCUGACCGUCCUCCCACCCUGCAGGUUGUGAGCCCCCGAGGCCAGGGACAGGGUCUACUGUCCCCACAGUAUCUUCAGCCAGCCCCCGACAUGGGCACAGCACUCUGGAUUCUCUCAAAUAAAUGUUUAUUGAGGGAAUGAGUGAAUGUGGGAGCCAGUGGGUAACCGACCUGGGGGAGGCUGCUGUCCCCGCCACAGCAGCAGGAGGGUCACAGCAGUGGGGAUUGAAAGAGGUAAUGUGGGUGCCUGGGUGGCCCGGUCAGUGGAGCAUCUGCCUUUGGCUCAUGUCAUGAUCCUGGGGGUCCUGGGAUCGAGCCUCACGUCAGGCUCUGUGCUCAGAGGAAGUCUGCUUGUCCCUCUCCUUCUGCCCCUCCUCCCGCUUGUGCGCUCUCUUUCUCUCUCAAAUACAUAAAAUCUUAAAACAAAACAAAACAAAACCAGAGAGCGAAAUGAUGCUUUGGAGCCUCUGGCCCCUGAGGGGAUAGUUGGUACGUGGGGCUCACCGCCAGCUCCUCAUCCUCUCCCCUGUCCAUCUGGCUAACCUGCGAGUGGCCGCGGUGCUGACCAUUCUGUCCGUCCUGCCACUGCCGCCCCCUCACAGGGCCUUCUGGAGACAGUCCCGUACUCCAGAUGCUCAGGCCUUCCGGGCCCGGAGCCCGACCCGAAGGUGGAAUCCUUGGGGCAUACUUGUCCCUGGCUCGGGGCCGGGCUGUGCUCCCUUCUGAGGACUCAGAGAAGCCAGGGUCGGCAGCCAGCGCCCCAGGCACCUCCUUGGGUGCUCCCCAGGUCAGAGGCGAGGUCUCGCAUCUACUCGCUAAUGCACGAUUUAUUUCUUUUGCAAGUUUCUCUGGGACCUGUGCUUGUCCAGAUGUUUGCAUGAUGUGGCGGGAAAUGAGGUUUAUGGAGCUGCUGGCAGAGCAUCCCUGCGGUUCUAGAGAUUUGGGGGGUCUUGGAGCUCGGGCUCCAGCUGCAUGCGGCUGCCUGCGUCCUUGCAGCAUUUAGCUUCUGAGCCCGGCAGCUUCCUCGGCCCCAAACACGUGAGCGACCUCAUGACUCUGCCCCUCCAGUGAUCCCCGACAAACUGUUCAGCGAGUAGGUGGAAUUCCUAUUUUUAAUAGCCAAGUUGUUGAGAAAUUGUGGGGCUUCUACUUCCUUUGGAACAGAAGGCUUCCAGAAAUAUUUAUACCUUUGCUUCUAUAGAAUCUAGGAAAUCAUCCCAGCCCAGAGGAGGUCAGCAGGUGGCGUGGGAUCACCUAGGAGACGGCCCCAGUGACAUCACCAUGCUCACCCAGUUGGGGACCCGCCAGUCCUCUCGGUCGGCUGGCCCUGCUCUCUACUGGGGAGGGGGGCUUGGUAAGGGUUGGUGGGACCAGGUCUUGGGGGCUGCCAGUGUCAUGCUGAGGGAUCUGAACCCUGUCCCUGAGCCCUCAGUGAGAUUUAGUGGAGGACUAACAUCGGAUGUGCAUUUCCGAGAGGUCAGAGGCAGUGGAUUAGAGCUGCGUCCUGUCAAGGCUUUCAUUUUGCAAGAGACCUGUGUACAGUGCCAGGGCGCAAUCCCUCUAACCCUGUGCAGUGCAUUCCAGCAUUUUCUGUUCUGUUUCAUUUGUUUUUCUAAAAAUGCUGUUUGCAACCCUCUGCACUGAUUUCCCGUCUCCCUGAAUGUUUUUUGAUCUGAAGUUGGAAAAGCAGCACUGGAUUGGAGAGAGGAAGCCCGGGCAGAGGCUGCUGUCACUGUCCAGGUAGCCGUGCUGAGCUGAAGAGCCACUUACGUCAUCCCUGAUCCCCGUUUACCUUACAGGAGGUACCCGUACCAUAUUUGAGGAGGCUCAGGGGGAUCAAGGUAUUGGUCUGAGGUCACAGAGCUGGUGACAGGCAGGGAUGGGGUUUGAACUCCAGACCAGCUUCCACAACAUUUUCCCUCCUGCAUCCUGGGCUCCUCUGCCUUGUUGCUCCUGGUUCUUGCAACUAGCUGACCAAGGUUGAGAGAGAUGCCCAGAUUUAAAUCUGGGUACCCGGGGGAGGGGCUUGGGCCUUGGCAAGUUUGAGGCCCCCUGGUUCAAUCCUAGCAUCCCGCUAACUGGGGACCACUGCUCUGGGAAGGGAUGGGAGUGGCCUUCGUGUCUGCCUUCCAUCCCAGCCUCCUCUCCGUGGUCUGUUCAUUCAGCCAGUGCAUGAGAAGCACUUUCCUCUGGAGGCCUGGCAGCCCACACCUGGCAGCCCUGAGCACAUCCCGCCCCGCCCCACCUCCAUGUGAGGCUCAUCCCCACAGCCCUGCCCUAAGGUGUGUGCUCCUCCCCCUGCACCCUGCCCCUAGGUGUGUGCUCAACCCCCUAUCCCUGCCCCCAGGUAUG